rnacentral:rRNA from 1 species
CCUACGGGAGGGCAGCAGUGGGGAAUUUUAGGACAAUGGGCGCAAGCCUGAUCCAGCAAUGCCGCGUGCAGGAUGAAGGCCUUCGGGUUGUAAACUGCUUUUGUACGGAACGAAACGGUUCUUUCUAAUAAAGAGAGCUAAUGACGGUACCGUAAGAAUAAGCACCGGCUAACUACGUGCCAGCAGCCGCGGUAAUACGUAGGGUGCGAGCGUUAAUCGGAAUUACUGGGCGUAAAGCGUGCGCAGGCGGUUAUAUAAGACAGAUGUGAAAUCCCCGGGCUCAACCUGGGACCUGCAUUUGUGACUGUAUAGCUAGAGUACGGUAGAGGGGGUAUGGAAUUCCGCGUGUAGCAGUGAAAUGCGUAGAUAUGCGGAGGAACACCGAUGGCGAAGGCAAUCCCCUGGACCUGUACUGACGCUCAUGCACGAAAGCGUGGGGAGCAAACAGGAUUAGAUACCCUGGUAGUCCACGCCCUAAACGAUGUCAACUGGUUGUUGGGUCUUCACUGACUCAGUAACCGAAGCUAACGCGUGAAGUUGACCGCCUGGGGAGUACGGCCGCAAGGUUGAAACUCAAAGGAUUGACGG